UAGAGCGUUGACCAAUCAAAGAAGGGGGA
rnacentral:piRNA from 1 species